rnacentral:tRNA from 1 species
GGGUGGGUUGGCUCAGUGGUUAGAGCGUAGGUCUUGUGACCGGAAUUUUCCGGGAUCGAGUCUCGCCAAAGUCA